AUUGAACGCUGGCGGCAGGCCUAACACCUGCAAGUCGGGCGAGUGGCGGACGGGUGAGUAAUGUAUGGUGAUCUGCCUGAUGGCGGGGGAUAACUACUGGAAACGGUAGCUAAUACCGCAUACCAUCAGCUGAACCCAUAUGGGAUUAGCUAGUAGGUAAGGUAACGGGUUACCUAGGCGACGAUCCCUAGCUGGUCUGAGAGGAUGAUCAGCCAAACUGGGACUGAGACACGGGCCAGACUACUACGGGAGGCAGCAGUGGGGAAUAUUGCACAAUGGGCGCAAGCCUGAUGCAGCCAUGCCGCGUGUAUGAAGAAGGCAUUCGGGUUGUAAAGUACUUUCAGUCGGGAGGCGUUACCGACAGAAGAAGCACCGGCUAACUCCGUGCCAGCAGCCGCGGUAAUAC
rnacentral:rRNA from 1 species